GUAUUUUUCUCCCCUGUAUCUUCCACUCCACAGACGCCUCCCUCCCUAACUCUCUCUCUCACUUCACUCCAUUCCCAGGUCUCAUUUUCCAAUUUCCGUAGUUGCUGAUGGAGUUGUAUAGAGCCACAGUAAAUGAAGCAACAAUUGUUCCUUUUGUCAGUGGCCAAUUGAAUAAUCUUGAGCUUGUUGUCAAUCUUGCCAAAAAAGGAAACCUUCCUGGUGCUGAGAAUUUGGUAAGUUAAAAUCAUGUUUCUCAAGUCACUAUCUUUUAAAUUGAUUUCUUGAUUGGAUGGAGAUUAGAAUGUCAAAUGGUGGGAUCUCUUGCCUCUGAAAACUUUUCAUACUUCUAACUAGUAUGUGCUACAAAUCAUGAUUUUUGCUCUUCAACAUGCAUCUCUUUUUUCUAGAUCAAAUGUGGACUUAGUUAAUUGGUUGUAUUGAUAUCAUCUUCUAGAACAAUAUUUGAUAAGGCUAAUGACUUUAUAUUACCUAAACUCUCUUACUUUGAUUGGUGUGGUUAGAAGUUGGUAAAUUUAUUAAAAGCAGUGGUUGUGAUGGAUUCAGCAUGUUGAAAAAACUCUUUUAUGAACCUUAUCUGAUUAUUUAUAAUGGGUUGGUUUUGCUGCAAUCUUGGUAAAUUUUCUGCAUCCAAUGCAUAAAGAUGUCAUUUUUUCUGUAUACCUGAAUCGUGUGGUUGGUUAUGUAUAGCUCGUCAAUAGCCAUAUUGAAAUCUGUUGGAGUUAUGGUAUCCUCUAAUUUUACAUAUCACCUAUAGAUGCAAGAUACCUCUAGUUUUAUUAAGAACACCCUUAGUUUCCUCUAAUUAUAUAGUCUAAUUGCCAAUUGUCAAGUUUAUUGUGUUAACAGCAUCGUGAUUUCUGGGCAUAUCAUUCUACUGCAUCUCUUUGAAUAUCGUGUGGAUAUUUAUUUACCCUAAAUAUCAAAAGCAACAAAAUAUAGUAUAGGAUGAUUAGAUAAGCUUUUAUAUAAUAAGAGUGGCAAAGGGAAAUGUUUUGUAUAAAGAUGCUGGGAAGAGGAUAUGUUGAAAUCUGGAGAGACAAUUAAUGUUUCAAGAAAAGCCUAUUAUUGAUGUUUUUGAUAGUAUGCUGCAGCAUAAUUACCAAAAUUUUGGAGAA